GACGAACCGUGCGAACGUUGUUCGGAAUCACUGGGCUUAAAGGGCGCGUAGGCGGCUUGCCAAGUCAGGGGUGAAAUCCUGCAGCUUAACUGUAGAAGGGCCUUUGAUACUGGCGAGCUCGAGGGAGGUAGGGGUAUGUGGAACUUCCGGUGGAGCGGUGAAAUGCGUUGAUAUCGGAAGGAACGCCGGUGGCGAAAGCACUCUGCUGGGCCGACACUGACACUGAGAGACGAAAGCUAGGGGAGCGAAUGGG
rnacentral:rRNA from 1 species